CACACCUCCACUGUGCUCAUCCAUCUACAGAAUACCUGGAGGGGGCCAGGCACUUUGCAAAGCACACUGGAAGGACAAGAGUCACAGCAUGCCAACCUCAUAAGCGUGUGAGGAGGAAGUGGCCUGUCCAGAGAAUGAAAUGCAGAGCAGAGCAGAAUGUGUCCAGACAAAAGGACUGGCUUCUCCUUCCGACAUCCAAGGGUGUUAUGGUUUGUGUUUGCACGUCCC
rnacentral:lncRNA from 1 species